UUGAUUACGUUUUGCAGCCAAGUAUGGACAUUUAUUAGUUUUUUUGUUUUUAAUUUUUCAGGAUUGCAUCGCAACACCUCGUGAUGCGUUUCUGAGCCAUGAUCGCUGUGCCGAUUACCUUUCCAUUGGAUCCAAGCACCUGGACCAGCUGACGGCGUCCAUCAGUCCACGGUCUGCCGGAUCAUCACAACGUGGACUAACUUUUUUUUUUUUUACAGCACUUGGCGGGCGAAAGCUAAAG